ensembl:snoRNA small nucleolar RNA SNORA29
CUUCCCAUUCUACUGCCACUUAUUUGCGUUACCAAAUAAGAGGUUAUGCUUAUGGGAUAAAGAAAAGCCUGCCAUAGUCUAAAGGAGAAGAAUGAACACUGUCUUCCUCCUAUAUUAAAUGGCAGAACAUAAUACA